CUUUGUUCACUUCUCUUUAUAUAGAUAGAGGGUGGUGGAGGUUUACGGUGAAGAGAAAAGUAAAUGGUGGAGAAGUGGAGGGAAUGGUGGAGAAAGUGGUAGAAAUGGAGGGAAUGGUAGAGAAAGUGGUAGAGAAGUGAAGGGAAUAGUGGAAUGAUGGAGAAGUGGGAGAAAAUGGUGGAGAAGUGUGGAGAAGUGGGGUAAAUGGUGGAGAAAGUGGAAGGAGUGAUGAAGAAGUGGUGGAAAUGGUGAGAAGUGGAGGGAAUGGUGAAGAAAGUAGUAGAAAUAGAGGGAAUGGUAGGAGAUAGUGGAGGAGUGAAUUUAGAGAAGUGAUUUUUUUUUUUUUUAACAACCAGCUAUUUAUAGGGAGGAGAAGGGUGAAAUAGG
rnacentral:lncRNA from 1 species